ACAGUAUAUUCAACUGGCCCAUUGCAGUGUUGUGAUCUUGUUUUGGUAAAGCAAAUGUUUUUUGAUUUUGCUCCGUGUUUUAGGUCAUCAUGCUCAGAUGUAGAAUUCCUCCUCAGAUGUAGAAUUCCUAAGCUUUUUAGCAGAGGCCUUAAAAAAUGCUCCAGAAUUGACUGGAAUUCAAAGCUAUUGAAUGUUCCUUCAUACUGAUUAAUGUCACACACAGCCGAAAGUGAACAAAAACAGCCCCACAUCAGGAUGCUGCUGCCUGAUUUUCUUUUGAUGAUGUGAUAGGAUUGGAUGUUCUUGAUGUUUAAAAAGUGUUGCUGGUUGUAAUUGUUGUGUUUUGCUAGUCUGUUUUACUGUGUUGUAUAAGAAUUUGGAAGAAGUUUUUACUUUUUUGUGCUACAGGCACAUGUACAGAAAUUGUGGGUGACAAACAUAGAAUGCAUUGGAGUGCCAGUGGAUGGCUGCACUUGAGCCCAUUUAUAUGACAUUUUCAUAAUUCAUCGGUAAAAGAGUUCCCUGUGCAAAGGACCAAGUACUGACGACAAUCUCCAUCCACUCAGACCACCAAUACACUGUAGUACACAUGCCAGGCAAGUGGGUGGCGGUAAGGAAGCAGACAUGCGUAUAUGUGGAGUCAUUUAAUCUUUGGAGCCAUAAAGAAUCAUGGAACAACUCCAGGUUGUUAGGAACGGUUGUAUCAGGACCCGGAAGCAGGCAACACACAGUGGAGAAUGGUGUCCGAAAAGCAUUUUAAAGUGAACAAGAACAGUUCGGUCCGCGUUCACAGAGAGGCAUAGAGACCUCGACUGAGUCCAAAACAAGUCUGCAAGGAAAACUCUCAAAAUAGUUAAGUUCGCGAUAAGAACAAAAACACUCCAACGCUGGCAGACGGGAGUUCUGUCCUUAAAUGGAACAGUAGAUUGAAGAUAGGCCGGAGGUGCGUCUGUCUGCAGUGCCAGCUGUGGCUGAUGAAUGGUUCCUCCACGCCCCCUGCAGGAAGAAACCAGCAACAGUUGCCAGAAACUGGGAACCCAACACAGAAUCAGAAGGCACGUGGAAUACGUCUGCAAGAUGUUUGGAACAGCUCUCUCCAGUAAUGGCUUUGUUUGUCACUGUUUUGAGACUAAUAAAACCAGCUUUACCAUAAUAUCCAGCUUCUCAAUGACAUUUUUGUUUCGCCAAACUUAAAUGCAAUUUUGGCUCUCUGGUAGAAGUGUGUCUCAACACACGGCAUUUAUCGUUGGUCACAC
rnacentral:lncRNA from 1 species